rnacentral:rRNA from 1 species
UACAGAGGUCCCAAGCGUUGUUCGGAUUCACUGGGCGUAAAGGGUGCGUAGGUGGCGAGGUAAGUCGGAUGUGAAAGCUCGGAGCUCAACUCCGAAAUGGCAUUGGAAACUACCUUGCUCGAGGGUUGGAGGGGGACUGGAAUGCUUGGUGUAGCAGUGAAAUGCGUAGAUAUCAAGCGGAACACCAGUGGCGAAGGCGAGUCCCUGGACAACUCCUGACACUGAGCACGAAAGCUAGGGGAGCGAACAGG